rnacentral:lncRNA from 1 species
AUUUACACAAACCCUAACCCCACAAAUAUAGAUUAUUUUUCCCCAAAGGCUAAAACUAUCUAAGAACUCACCUAGUAGAAGAAGAUGAAGUUGGUGAUGAUAAAGAUGAGGUGAUGGUGUUGAUGAACAUGAUCUUCUUCCUUCCUCUUCUUCCUCUUUCUCUUUUCUUCUUUCUUUCUCCUUCUCUUUUCCUCUUUCUUUCUCUUUCUCUUCUUUUCCCUUUUCUGAUAACUCUCUUCUUCUAUUUUUAUCCUUUCU